CUAAUUUCCUGUCCUGUGGGUUUUCUCUUUGUAGCAUUUGACUGAAACACUUUAAAAAGGCAGAAUUAUCUGGCGUACAAAUGAGGAUGAAACCCACUUUAUAUUACGUACUGGACAAACUGAUGUGGAUCAUCUUCGUCUGCUGUGGACAUGCUCGAGCAGAUAGACCCAGAGUCAUUCUGACAGCAGGUACAACAACCAUACCAGUAGGGGGCAGUGUGGCGCUGAGCUGCUCGGUGGAGCCCUCUGCUGGAUGGGAGUACAGAUGGUUCAGAUGGACGCCGGAAACUCUCCGAGUUCAAGUCAAAAACGAUAGUGGACUAAACAGAAUUAUUAAUGUCACACAAGGAGGUUUUUAUCAAUGCAAAGGUGUGAAAGAAACAAACAACCUCCAAAGUUAUUUAAGUAACAGGACUAC